UAACACUUAAUGACCCGGGGGGGGGGGGGGGGGAAUCCUACUACCUCAGCAUGUUUCCCAUAGUGGGGGGUGAGGUAUACGAACGGGAGCCAGGCAAUGUUUCUCUGUCCCACAAAGGCUGCGCUAUAACAGCUGGGGAGCAGCACUGUGAGCCAUCAAGAUAACGAUCCUCCUCCUAUUGACGGAUGGCUGUAAAACAGGGUAUUAUGGGGUUUCACAGUCAGCGCUGACAAGUGACUCAGACCUAUUGUUAAGCUGUUGAAGAACAGAGACCGUUUGGCAGUUUGACAUGAAAUAGAUGGAUGGAUUUAUUCGGUUGAAUGCCGCCCACCACGUAGAAAAUAAAUGAACGUUACAUGGGAUGUAAGCCAUUAAUGUAAUUUAAUCAUUUUUUUGUCUGUAUUAUCAGUUAUAAUGUUUUGUGCGGUUCGAGGAGGACUGUGAUAGGGUUACAUGCGCUACUCUACUUCAGUCAAAUCAGAGCAGCUAACUGUUUCAUUAUCUCAAUACCGAUUCCGGUCCAUUCUCUAAUGAGACAUUGACCCCCUGUCAAGGCCGAAGAAGAGCUCAAAGCAUUUGGUUGGCUGAGGGCAGGAAAGCGGAUUCCAAAACUGGAGUGGUCCGGACGACGACCUUGGUGGUCUGAAGAGCGGUGAGAGCAAAACGAAAGAGGUCUCGUCCUCUCUGCUGCCUUCCACUUUCCAGUUGCCCGUCUGGUUAAAAUUCAACAGACAACAAGAGCGAGUAGGCCUGCUUCUAUUUUCACCUGGCAGUGGGCCAAUGUGUGUGUGCGUGCGUGCGUGCGUGCGCGUGCGCGAUGAAAGUGCGUACGCUUGCAGAAUUGUUGUCACUGUUUAUGCAUUUUCCAAUAGUAGCACUGUACCUGUUAGCUGAAGCCCAGCGGUUGUUAUGGAUGGGAUCACCCGGUGCAGCGGUGACAGUGAAUGACAUAAAAUCAAUCGGCGGUCUGCUGUGCACCUCGAGGUGUGAACGUUUAGGGGAGGCAAGUGACAGUGGCCCAACGUUGAUGCGGUCUGAUAGGGCACCGAGAAUGUUUUGAUGGCGUAGAUUGAAAUGGCCUUAUGGGUUGGAGUGCAUGCUCAAUAGGGGUAAUGGAGGUGUAAUAAUCGAGUCAUGCUGCAGCCGGAGCUUGGCCCACCGGGUCACAUGUUCUCCAGAGCAAACACGUCAGUGGUCACCCGGGCUGCAGUUCCACUUGUCUCCAGCAGAAGGCAGCAAAGGACUGAAUGUAUUGAUUCUUAUACGUUUGUACCACAGACCCUUUUCGCACAGGGGUCAUUGUAGGACCAACACCGGUGUCACUCCUUACACUAAUGAUCGGUCUGCUGCUUUUAUGUACCAGGGCACGGGUACGAGGCUAAAUUAGUGCAGAUAAGUCUACUAGCUGUGCCCGGCCACAUACAAAGAGCAACACCUAUAUGUUUGUGUUACGAUGAGGCCUCUGAAAAGCGGCCUUUCACUUGCCCCAAAUAAAAUAAUUUCUCGACUUUUGAUGGAUAAUUGCCCAUUUCUCCCUGUAAGCCUCCUCGAGCAAGAUGCCUUUACCUCCACUGCUACCUAAUGAGACGUAGGCCUGCCUAAAAAUACGGACUCGCGAAGUGUUCUCAUUAAAAGACUGCGUACCGGUUAGCGACUGGCUAGUGCGUGUUGGUGGUCUAUUCUUCAGGCAGGUAGGUGGCAGAGCUCUGUGUGUGGGGAAGCGUCGGUCGUGACUCACUGCUUGCUUCUCGUCUCCGGAUUUAUUUAGCUCAGCGACUCGGUGGGCAGCUUAGGGUGACACCCGACAAUCGAAACUAAACUUCUUCACGCACGCGGAGAUAUCUCCCCGGGUAACCGUCGCGUUACCAUGCCGACUCAACAUAGAUAUUCUAGAAGAGCCUUGUUUGGAGUUAUUCUUCUUUUAGUGUGUGUGUGUGUGUGUGUGUGUGUGUGUGUGUGUGUGUGUGUGUGUGUGUGUGUGUGUGUGUGUGUGUGUGUGUCCCUCCACUGUCCAGCUUCAAAUAUCCCCUCUCCCCCCUCCCACCCCAUAUCCAAGCUGUUCUCGUUCAGUAGCAAAGCUACCGGAAGAAAGGGUGUGUGUGUGUGUGUGUGUGUGUGUGUGUGUGUGUGUGUGUGUGUGUGUGUGUGUGUGUGUGUGUGUGUGUGUGUCGAGAAAAUGAACUGAGGACACGCAUGUUUUAUUUGCAUUCUCCUUAGUAGUACACAAAAACUUAUAUUUUUUAUUUUUACUAAUUUGACACUCAUUAUUAGUCUAUAAUAUACCAUGACAAGUAGUCCCACACGAGUCCCACAAGAAUGUGCCAAUUAUGGAGCAUAGUGUGUGUUGGGUGGCUGAACACUGAUUUACAGCGGCACACUGAUAUUAAUCAUGACCUGAAGCAUGACAAACUGGCUGCUGGGAAGCUUUUGAUGUUGUGAUCAGGGGCUUUGAUGAAGGUUAGAUCAUCUUGUUCUGCCCCAGCAGCACCUGUGAAAGGCCCAGCUGUGCCGAGAGCAUCUGCCGAGAAAGAAGUGUCGACGACUUCAUUGUUUCCCGUUUGAAAUCCAGAAUUCCCUGGAAUAUAUCUUUUUUGAAUGAAUUAUUAAUACUGUAUAUUCCCAGGCCUGCUUUAAGAACCUAAAAACUUGUUUUCAAUAAUGAACAACAUCCCUAACUAUGGACAUUUUAUUUAACAUAAAUUACCAUUAAUUAAAAUGUUUUCCUCAGUUUUCCUUUAGACACACUUACUGUGUGUGUGCUUGUGUGUGGUGAGGGGGCAUUUCUUUAUGCCCGUUCUCUCGUAAGAUGUUUGAUCAAAGUACAAAACACAUAUUUUAAUUACAGGUCUCAGCCUCCUGUUCACACUUGCGCUAUAACAAGGCCCUCCACGUAUCACAUUCACCCCCUACAACACCACGAGACACCAGCUUUCCCCCACACACACAUGCACACACACACGCACGCACAGAUACAAACACGCGCACAGAUACGCACACACGCACAGAUACGCACACACGCACAGAUAC